UCUUAGAUUGUUGCCGCCGCUUCGUUUUUUCUUGGGAAGCCAGGGGGGAAGGGGGGCCCGCAAGCCUACUGCCCCCCUGUCACGGGCACAGAUCUAUCUAGGUAACUCCGUGACAUCUGCUCAGCGUUAUCAAGAAGAAAUCGUGACGUAAAGAGUUGAUUUUGCCUGGCUACCAAGAAUCAUAGAAUCGUAGAAUCACAGAAUCAUAGAAUGGCCUGGGUUGAAAAGGACCACAAUGAUCAUCUAGUUUCAACCCCCCUGCUAUGUACCGGGUUGCCAACCACUAGAUCAGGCUGCCCAGAGCAACAUCCAGCCUGGCCUUGAAUGCCUCCAGGUAUGGGGCAUCCACAACCUCCUUGGACAACCUGUUCAAGUACAUCACCACAUUGUUCAACCAGUCAGAGAAUGUGAUAAUUUGGAAGGAGAAUACUCACCUCGAUGGCACUGAAAUAUCAAGCAAAGGGAUACAGAACUUUACCUCAUAUCUGAGAGAAUCCAGCAACUGUUCACAGAGAUGAUGAAGGAACUGGAACAUCUCUACUAUAUCUCUCUUCCAAGAGAGCUCAGAUUCUUCAGCCUAGAGAAGAAGAGAUACAGGGGAAUUCAUCAGUGUCUGUAUAGAAGAAAAAAAGGAAUUGUCUAUACAAACUCUGUUGCAUUCCACAAACUGAAAUUCAGAAAGAAUGUUUUGAGGAUAAGUUGUGCUGCUAAAUCCUACAUCUUCAACUCAAAGAGACAUGAAAACAAAAAAAAUAUGUAAGUGUAAACAAAACUGAAUCAAAUCAUCCAAUAAGCAAUAAAAAUCUUAAUAAGUAGAAAAUUUGCAAACAGAGUAUAAUAGAAGUGUCUCGUGUUAACACAAAGUAAUGCAAAUAUUGUAUGGACUUUUCUUUAGUUUUCAGCUUAACAAUUUUGUUGCUUUUUAUUUUGAACAUUUAUUACAUUCUGCCAUGUUGUUUCCAUAAUCUUUUCUUUUUUUUUCUUUGUUUUUCUUAAAUUGCUAGUUGACAUUUAAUAGAUACAUUUUGCUAAUUUGUGGAAGAAAAGAUCUUCAGGGGCUGUUAAGCAUGGAGGCUACCAGGACACAUUUGUAAAGGAACUCAAUCUAGCAGAUGAACAAGAAAUACAGAAUGGCUCAUAAUCACAUGGCUCAGGGCUAGACAUCUCUUGAGUGGACAUAUCUAUACUGACUGUUUCCAGUCUCAGGUCUUUUUAAACAUCCAGUCAGUGCACCACACUGGCUUUAGGACAUCUCCAGAAUAACUAUCAGUGUUUAGACAAUAUUGUUUUACCCUUCCCCAUCCCCCUGGAUUCAAGUGGCAGAAACAAGGUUUGUGUGAGGGCUGUGUUGUCUGUAUACAGCCAUGUUGGGAGUAUGGGCUGGGGACAUGGCAUGACUUUGCAUGAGGACAGGGCAGUGGCUGGGACAGUGAGAUAGGAUUCUAGAGGGAGGAAAAUCUGGUACUAUUUUGUCUACAAUGACUGUUGCGGUUUAAACUGGCAGGAAGCUAAGCACUACAUAGCCUUACAUUCACUCCUCCAACUCCCAGUGAGAUGGGGGAGAGAAUUAGAAAAAAAAAAAGAAAGAACUAGAAUUUGCAAGUUGAGAUAAAAACCAUUUACUAAGACAGAAGAGGAAGAGUAAAAUAAUACAAAUGACAGUCUUAUAUACAUAUAUAUUUACAAAACAGGUGAUGCACAAAGCAGCUGCACAUCACCUGCUGAUCAGUGUCCAGCCAGUCUCUGGGCAAUGCCUGCCUCCCUGUUAAACUGUGUUCAGUUUUAUAAUUUUUUUUGCAUGAUGUCAUAUGAUAUGUAAAAUCCCUUUGGCCAGUCAGGAUCAUCUGUCCUAGUUCUGUUCCGUCCCAGCAACUUGUGCCACCUCACUGACCUCACUGGCAGGGCAGUACAAGAGGUAAUAUGAAUCUAUUUAAAUGGAUCAAAUCAUUGGAGAGAAUUGUGAAAAAGAAAGAAAGAAAGAAAGAAAGAAAGAAAGAAAGAAAGAAAGAAAGAAAGAAAGAAAGAAAGAAAGAAAGAAAGAAAGAAAGAAAGAAAGAAAGAAAGAAAGAAAGAAAGAAAGAAAGAAAGAAAGAAAGAAAGAAAGAAAGAUACUUGUAGGGUAACUUGCAUAGCUACUCUAUAUCUCAGAAACAUUUCGGGGCUUAGAUAUCGCCUACAUCAAAUUACAUACACUUGAAAGUAAUGAUGCCAUUGAUCUUUCCUUUCUUCUUGCCUAUGCAGGAUAUUUGCUAGAAGUAUUACAUUUUUUUUAAAUAGAUCGAUUAGUUGCUGUUUGCAAGAGGCAGUCCUUGACCACUAUGCAGUACUUUUAACUUUUUAAUUGUAUGUGUGCAAUUAAAUCUAUAGCAUUCCUCCAUAAUUCACAAUAUUAUAUAAUAUAUAAUAGUAUAUAAUAAUAUAAUAAUAUUAUGAGCUUUUGGCUUAGUUGUAGCUGUAUUUGUUUUGCACUGAAUAAAG